CGGGCGGCGCUACCUGUGCCCACCUGAGCCACGCCCACCCGAGCCACGCCCACCCGGACAGGACCAGGACACGCCCACGGGCCCCGCGCUCUGAUUGGCUCCGCCCUCCCCUGCACCAGCCAAUCACCUGUGCAGAAAUAAACCUCCCUUUAUUCCAUA